rnacentral:rRNA from 1 species
CCUUACCUAAACUUGACAUCCNUUUGACCGCUUAUUAAUCGAAGCUUUCCCUUCGGGGACAAAGGUGACAGGUGGUGCAUGGUUGUCGUCAGCUCGUGUCGUGAGAUGUUGGGUUAAGUCCCGCAACGAGCGCAACCCCUGUCUUUAGUUGCCAUCAUUAAGUUGGGCACUCUAGAGAGACUGCCGAGGAUAACUCGGAGGAAGGUGGGGAUGACGUCAAAUCAUCAUGCCCCUUAUGUUUAGGGCUACACGCGUGCUACAAUGGGCGGUACAACGGGUAGCAAGCUCGCGAGAGCAAGCCAAUCCCUUAAAGCCGUUCUCAGUUCGGAUUGCAGGCUGAAACUCGCCU